rnacentral:rRNA from 1 species
GACGAACGCUGGCGGCGUGCCUAAUACAUGCAAGUAGAACGCUGAAGAGAGGAGCUUGCUCUUCUUGGAUGAGUUGCGAACGGGUGAGUAACGCGUAGGUAACCUGCCUUGUAGCGGGGGAUAACUAUUAGAAACGAUAGCUAAUACCGCAUAACAAUGGAUGACCCAUGUCAUUUAUUUGAAAGGGGCAAAUGCUCCACUACAAGAUGGACCUGCGUUGUAUUAGCUAGUAGGUGAGGUAACGGCUCACCUAGGCGACGAUACAUAGCCGACCUGAGAGGGUGAUCGGCCACACUGGGACUGAGACACGGCCCAGACUCCUACGGGAGGCAGCAGUAGGGAAUCUUCGGCAAUGGGGGCAACCCUGACCGAGCAACGCCGCGUGAGUGAAGAAGGUUUUCGGAUCGUAAAGCUCUGUUGUAAGUCAAGAACGAGUGUGAGAGUGGAAAGUUCACACUGUGACGGUAGCUUACCAGAAAGGGACGGCUAACUACGUG